CCAAAAAUUAUUUCGAUUUGUAAAUAAUUUUUGAAUUUAACAAUUUUUUUUUUAAAUUCCUUAAGUUUUUCGAAAGUCUCAAAAUUUUCAUUGCAUAUACAGUUAGCAUGGAUAUGGGCAUGUCACAGGAGGGUCUGUGCGGUGUGCUCAAGAAGAGCAAGGCCAGCCUGGACCUGAAUGGGCGUUUCAUAGCCGAGCAACUGAAUCUACCCGAAGCUUGUCUCGAUGGCAAGCCGAAGCCGAACCUAACCUCUAAAGCCAGUCAUAAGACCCUGGAGUCGCGUCAUCAGUCUAGCGAUAUGGAACCAUAUGGCAAAAGCCUUGUGGAACUAACCGAAACGGGCUACGAACCACACGACAGGCAUCAAUAGCCGAUCCAUCAGUGCUGGAUAAGACCUCGCCGUAUAGCCGCAUCUAUUCAAUCCGAACGAUAAAAGCUUUUGUUUUCCCAUUUUAUUUUUUUCACAAAUUCCGAAUCGAAAACUUUGGCCCGUCCCACCAAAUGACGCAAGAGGAAGCAGUUGAAGAACUCUAAGCCAUUAUAUAGAUAACCUUUUCACAAAUAAUAUUUUUAAAUGGUUUUUACCCCGUGCGGGACGCCGAGUUAAUACUGUGAUGGAGCCAACCGCUGCUUCGGCUGGCGGCAAGAACUCCUCCUCCUCCUCCUCCUCCUCCUCCUCCUUGGCUGUUUACAAUUAUGAACUGGCAUUCGAAAUAUCUCUGCCGUGUUGUCCAAAUGUCGCGUGCGCGUUAAGCACGCCAAAUGUCUUAAGUGCACAAUGGAGCCACAGACCCGACUUCCAGCAGAAGCAGAGGACUUACAUCCACCCGUUUGCUCUCACUCCCACACACAACAAUGUGCUAACGGGGCGUGCGAAUAUUUCAACGUGAUUUUAAUGCUCUAACGUAGGGUAUUAUCCUUUUGUUGCAGAGCCCGAGAAACUCGUAAUACCACGUAUUAUAUUAUAU